CAUCUGUGCCAACAGUUUUCUCUUGCUGCUGUUACUUAGCUUGAAUGGAAGGAGAGCGAGGCAGUUCAGCCCUCUGUAAUGAAUGCUUCAGACUUUAAGGAGAAGGGAAGUCAUCUAAUAAUAUGAAUGAAGAAGUACAAUCAUUUCUGACCCAGGGAAGGCACUGCAGGAGAUAUACCCCAAGAAAUGCUCCACGUACACCAAAAUAUUAACAGCAGCACUUUUAAAGGGAAUAUGGCACAGGGAGCACAACGUGCUGAAUCACACACUUGCAUCUGGCUUUGGCAGAAGGAAAACAGCUACUUCACUGACCUCGAUCAACCUCUGAGAGUCUCUCUCCCUACCUCCCAUCCCACUUCAGUCCAGUGUGUAACAUGGAUG